GAAUAUGUAGUGUAGCGGUGAAAUGCUUAGAUAUUACAUAGAAUACCAAUUGCGAAGGCAGAUCACUAACAAUAUAUUGACGCUGAUGGACGAAAGCGUGGGUAGCGAACAGGAUUAGAUACCCUGGUAGUCCACGCCGUAAACGAUGGUUACUAGCUGUUCGGUACGAUUGAGUACUGAGUGGCCAAGCGAAAGUGAUAAGUAACCCACCUGGGGAGUACGUUCGCAAGAAUGAAACUCAAAGGAAUUGACGGGGGCCCGCACAAGCGGUGGAGCAUGUGGUUUAAUUCGAUGAUACGCGAGGAACCUUACCAGGGCUUAAAUGCAGAUUGACAGGUUUAGAAAUAGACUUUUCUUCGGACAAUUUGCAAGGUGCUGCAUGGUUGUCGUCAGCUCGUGCCGUGAGGUGUCAGGUUAAGUCCUAUAACGAGCGCAACCCCUAUCACUAGUUGCCAGCGAGUCAAGUCGGGGACUCUAGUGAGACUGCCGGUGCAAACCGUGAGGAAGGUGGGGAUGACGUCAAAUCAUCACGGCCCUUACGUCCUGGGCCACACACGUGCUACAAUGGUAGGGACAGAGAGCAGCCACUUCGCGAGAAGGAGCGAAUCUACAAACCCUAUCUCAGUUCGGAUCGUAGUCUGCAACUCGACUACGUGAAGCUGGAAUCGCUAGUAAUCGCAUAUCAGCCAUGAUGCGGUGAAUACGUUCCCGGGCCUUGUACACACCGCCCGUCAAGCCAUGGAAGCUGGGAGUGCCUGAAGUCGGUGACCGCAAGGAGCUGCCUAGGGUAAAACUGGUAACUAGGGCUAAGUCGUAACAAGGUAGCCGUACCGGAAGGUGCGGCUG
rnacentral:rRNA from 1 species